rnacentral:tRNA from 1 species
CCUCCCGUAGCUCAGUGGACAGAGCAACCGGUUUCUACCCGGGCGCGCGCAGGUUCAAAUCCUGCCGGGAGGA